CCAAUAGCGUAUAUUAAAGUUGUUGCAGUUAAAAAGCUCGUAGUUGAAUUUCGGGGUCAGUAAGUUGGUCGUGCCACUGGUAUGUACUGGCUUUACUGAUUCCUCCUUCUUGUAGAACCGUAAUGCCAUUCAGUUGGUGUUGCGGGGAAACAGGACUGUUACUUUGAAAAAAUUAGAGUGUUUAAAGCAGGCUGACGCUUGAAUACAUUAGCCUGGAAUAAUGAAAUAGGACGUUUGAUCCUAUUUUGUUGGUUUCUAGGAUUGACGUAAUGAUUAAUAGGGAUAGUUGGGGGCAUUAGUAUUCAAUUGUCAGAGGUGAAAUUCUUGGAUUUAUUGAAGACUGACUACUGCGAAAGCAUUUGCCAAGGAUGUUUUCAUUAAUCAAGAACGAAAGUUAGGGGAUCGAAGACGAUCAGAUACCGUCGUAGUCUUAACCAUAAACUAUGCCGACUAGGGAUCGGAUGAUGUUAAUUUUUAAUGACUCAUUCGGCGCCUUACG
rnacentral:rRNA from 1 species